rnacentral:rRNA from 1 species
ACUAAGACUAGCCCAACUUUACCUAAAAAACAAUAAAUCUAUUAAACUUUAAAUUAAACCAUUCACCACUAAGCAAUAGUAUAGGAGAUAGAAAUUUCACUUGGCGCUAUAGACAAAGUACCGCAAGGGAAAGAUGAAAGAACAAUUAAAAGUAUAUAAAAGCAAAGCUCACUACUUGUACCUUUUGCAUAAUGACUUAACUAGAGCAACUUGACAAAAAGAAUUUUAGUCAACAAACCCGAAACCAGACGAGCUACUCAUAAAUAGUUAUAUAAGAGCACACUCAUCUAUGUGGCAAAAUAGUGAGAAAAUCUAUGAGUAGAGGUAAAAAGCUUAUCGAGCCUGGUGAUAGCUGGUUGUUCGGGAAAGAAUUUUAGUUCAACUUUAAAUUUACCCUAAGUACUCAAAACCUAAUGUAAAUUUAAAAUUUAAUCUAAAGGGGGACAGCCCUUUAGAACAGGCUACAACCUUUAGUAGAGAGUAAAAAAACCUUAUUCCAUAGUUGGCCUAAAAGCAGCUACCAAUUAAGAAAGCGUUCAAGCUCAACACACCAAAUCAAACUGAUCCCAAACUUUUACCCCAACCUCCUACCAACUAACCGAACCAAUCUAUCACUAGAUAGAAGUACUACUGUUAAUAUAAGUAACAAGAACCCACUAUUCUCCUUGCAUAAGCCUAUAUCAGAUCGGAUGCCCGCUGAUAGUUAAACAAAAACAUAAAUCAAACACAACUUAAACAAUAUCUAUCCAAAUAACUGUUAACCCAACACAGGCAUGCACUAAGGAAAGAUUAAAAGGAGCAAAAGGAACUCGGCAAAAACUAACCCCGCCUGUUUACCAAAAACAUCACCUCUAGCAUGACUAGUAUUAGAGGCACUGCCUGCCCAGUGACAUAUGUUCAACGGCCGCGGUAUCCUGACCGUGCAAAGGUAGCAUAAUCAUUUGUUCUUUAAUUUAGGACUUGAAUGAAAGGCCACACGAGGGUUAAACUGUCUCAUGCUCCCAAUCAGUGAAAUUGACCUUCCCGUGAAGAGGCGGGAAUACAACAAUAAGACGAGAAGACCCUAUGGAGCUUAAAUCAAUUAACCCAAUUACAUUUACUCAAUAACCAAAGCGGGUAUAAUAUCUAUUGAUUUUUGGGUUAAAAAUUUCGGUUGGGGUGACCUCGGAGCAUAACUAAACCUCCGAACAAUUUCAGCCUAGACUUCACUAGUCAAAGCAACUUCCGUGCCAAAUUGAUCCAAACUAAUUUGACCAAUGGAACAAGUUACCCUAGGGAUAACAGCGCAAUCCUAUUAUAGAGUCCAUAUCGACAAUAGGGUUUACGACCUCGAUGUUGGAUCAGGACACCCCAAUGGUGUAACCGCUAUUAAAGGUCCGUUUGUUCAACGGUUAAAGUCCUACGUGAUCUGAGUUCAGACCGGAGUAAUCCAGGUCGGUUUCUAUCUAUUUAAUAUUCCUCCCAGUACGAAAGGACAAGAGAAAUAGAGCCAACUCAACAGAGAGCUCUCAAUUUUAUAGAUGCUAUAAACUUAACCUAACACAUUACUUAAUAUCCUACCCAAGACCAGGGUUC